ensembl:lncRNA
UUUUUUUUUUUUUAAUGAAAUACUCAGGAAAAAAUACAAAUGCAACAUAUGUUUGCAUAAAGCACUGGCAAAUACCAACUCAGUAACUAUGAUUUGAAAACAGCAGGGUGCAUAGAAGAAAGAGGACUGGCACCAUCUGAACUUGUAACUUAGUAGCUAAGAGUGGCAAUAAAACUAGAUUCACCUUAAUUUGGCAGAACAGAACUCUUGCAAAGUACUCGCAAAAGUUUUCCAGCAGCACAGAAAAUGUUUUCUGCAGCAAGCACCAUUUUUUUUAUAAUAGGAUAUAAUGUGUUGAUUUUCUGUAGAGACAAAUUCCACCACCAUCCCUUAAAACCACUGUGGGGAAUACUUAGCUCCUGUGCUACCUAACAGCACCAUUUGAAACCUACUACCAUUACACACAAUUAUAACAAUUGUAAUCAGCAUAAACAUGUUCACAUAGGUAAGAAAUAAAACCAACAGUACAGUUUCGGUUUUUUAAAUAUAUAAGUCUUUUAAAAAGCUGUCAAGACUAUGAUUUCAUAUAGCAAAUCUAUUCUAACUGCUGUAUCAGCUUACAUGUACAAUAAUCUACAGGAUAAAAAUCAAGCUGCCUCUGUAGGUCAUAAUGGUGCUAACAUUUAUUUGCAGUCAACUUAUGUUCUCCUACAUUUAGUAUCAACAACAGGUUUAAAUAUUAGCAGUAUUUCUUCAAGAAAAAGACUAUCAUUCUACUUUUAGAAAAACCAUCAACGGGUAUUAUCAUUUAGUUUUUCGCCCUUUCUGAACACCUAGUACAUUUAAAAACAAAACAAACAGCACAGAAAAAAAAUGAGAAAUAUGUUAGUGGGUAUCUGAAAAGGGCCACAGUUUUGUAUAGUCACCCAAAUCUUCUAAAAAAUAAUAGUUUAAUUUGGUGAGUCAUCUUACUUUCAGACCACAACAACUAUAAAGCAAUAACACAUUUCACCUCUGUCCUAUGCAAAUCUGGUCAUAUAAAAUGUAGGAUAUUCAUCAUUCUGAAAGCAAGAAGAAUAGUCCUUCUCACUUCUCUACUAACAAAUCUUGUAGAGAGUCAUGGCAAAAAGUAGUCUUGUACAAAACAGAGCAUCUCUCUUGAUCCACUCUCUGCUAGUUGAACUGGUGCAGUAAAACUGAAACUAAUUAACCACAAGACAUUUAUAAUAUAUGAAAUGUUUAUGUUCUUUUUAUCAAGAGGUUUCUGAUGUAUUUCUCGAGAGCAAACUUUCCUGAAGAAGACAAGUUUUCAUGACAUGGAUCUGAACACAUGCCGGAUGAUACUUCAUGUUGGUAGACCUUCAUAAAGCAUCUUAAGUGAGAAAAAUGUCCAUUCUUUCAAAGGCAUCCACUUGAAUCAUUGUCAGAGGAAAUUUACAUGCCAUUGCAGAGAUGUAGAAGUGAUGAUGCUUCCAUCUGCCUUAAAUCAGAGGGGUAUUAAGCACACACCCAAAGAUUUGUGUAAUCAGCCUUCUGGAACUGUGCUAGUGAAACUAAGAACCCAUUCUUAGCUCUUCCCAUUAAAGAGUUCAAGGGUUUGUUGUUGUUGUUUUUGUUUUUAUCCUUAUUUUCAGUUGCAUAGAUCUACUCCACAAAAACAGUCUUAUAUUGAACUGGUAAGCUGUGCCAACAGUAAGCAAGACCAUUUAAAAUUCAGCUCCAGAGUGCAGAAAGAGGAAAUCAACAGGAAGAAUGACAAAAUAGGACACAUCUCCAACCUGGACUAAAAAAAUGAAAUGCAUAAUGAUUCAAAACAUCUAAAUAUCUGAUCCAGAACUUAAUAGCAAUCUCAGCAAAAUAAAUAAAUAAAUAAUAAUAAUAAUAAAAAAAUUAAAAUAAAAAAAAAUUAAAGGUCUUGACUUGAUAUUUUAUUAUAGAACAAAAGAAUAAUUUGAUUUCCUUUUCUAAAUCUACCUUCUUUCAUCUUAAACUUGUUCCCUUGUCCUGUUGCUGCACUCAUCCCCAGAUGAAGAGUCUCUCCCCAGAGACGCACAAGACACGUUUUCUUCUGUUCAAGAAAAUCCCCUGUGCACAGUGAGUAGCAGAGAUACAUGUAUACUUUCCUUAUGAACAUCCUCGCUGUUACUCAAGUCACAGUAUGGAUACACAUUUACUACAUCUAGCAAGCAUACAAGAUUACACAGGAGAGAAGAUGCAUACAAUAUCUUAAAGUUUUAAAUAAAUCAUUUUCUCCUAGACUACAGCUAAUACCAUAUUACAAGGCAUUAUCCAGUAUAUACAAUUUUCUAACACCAUCUAUUAUUUGGAGUGAUUAAAAUCCAAUCACUGGAAGUAGUUAGAGAAGUAACACAUACAAAGCAGCUAAAAAGUUGUUACACAAUCUGCACUGGAGGAUUCCUUCGGAGGAUACUUGAUUUUUCUUUUUCUUUGUCCACUAGCCAUCAAAUCCCAGAACAACAUUUUUCCAAAGGUAAAAUGCUACGUAACAUCAGAAAGCAAUCUAGAUUCAGAACUCAGUUAAAAUAUAAUUGGUUUCUAUGUCUGAUAGUGGAAAGUAAGAAGUAAAAAGAAAUGACAGAAUCAGCUGUAAGUUGUUCUGCCACCUUAUUAAUAGUCUUCAGUGAAAAAAGACUUUGUGCCCACAUGCAUUCAGAGCACAUUAUUCUCAGCUCAAGUAUGCAAGGGAUAAGAAGCGGCUUAAACUUUCAUAUCUUCACAUCUAAUAUGCUACAGCUCUCUUCCAGCAUUUUGUGGGAGAGAUAAUGAACUUUGCUAGGAGAGGAGUUACAGGAAGCACAUUCUUUAAAAAAAAAAAAAAAACAAAAACAAAAAAAAAAAAACCAAAAAAAACAACCUUUAUUCUCUCUCUCUCUCUCUCCACUCCUUUAAUCUCUCUUCCUUUCUCUUCUCUCUUCCUCCCCUUUUCUCCAAUAUAUUUUUCCUUUAAUUCUAACCUUAUCUAUUUUCUCCCUGGGGUGAUGUUUAACAUGGUUUAGGUGGAGAGUGGAGUACUACAGUCAUAUGUGUUUAGCAUGUACUUAGAGAUCAUUAGAGUACUGAAAGGUGUUAACUUUAAUAUUAAUUUCAUGGUUAGUGAAGCAAAAGACCUCACUCCAGGCACUGCAGCCUUCAAGAUACUACACUGAAACCGUUUUCUUCUUAUUCCCACAACCUUUAGCCUAAACAAGGCCACCCUUUCACCACUCCCUCCUUUGACUACUUUUUGUGCAUGGUGACCUUGCAGAUCUCCAACCUCAAAAUUUACAAAAGAGAUAAGCAUGCACCAGCAUUUUAACCUAUUACGUGCAAAUGUCUUAGCUGUAAACUGCAGAAACUUCUCUCCCAGUUCCACUAGGACUAUGGCAUUUGCACAGCUGAGACCUGCCUCAGAAUGAGAGAAAGGUAGAGAGUAAUCAAACAGAACAGUAUGUCAGAGGGCCCGGUCAAAACUGGUUUUUAGGUGCUCACCUUUGUAGGUAAGAGAUCUUUCGUCUCCAAGAUGGGACUGCAUUGGUGGUGACUAAAGAGGUAAUUCAGUAAAAACAUUUUCCAAGUCAGAAAUACAAAUACACUUUUGCAAUGUUAAGUAUCUAUCCAGAAUAUGUAUUAUUGAUGCACUGUUUGGAAGGCUCGGGAGUCAUUAUUUUGCUUUCUCUACACAACUGAAUACUUAAGUAUGGCUUUGUGUUUACUACUAUUUUCUUUGUCAGAUUAAGUGAUUACAUGUAUAAAUAGAGGAUAUAUAGAACCAUUCACUUUGAGGAGUAACUAUUCUUAACAGCAUCAGCAAAAGGUAUGUAAUUAUUCUUGCUCAUUCAAAAUGAUAAUCUCAGGUACAAAAUACUUCAUAUUUUAGUCACUAAAAAAACCCCAACAAAUUAAAAAUCUGAUUCUUGAAAUUAGAAUAUGCUCAGGCAUAUCUGCUCAACCAUCAAGAUGACACUUGGCAUCCUUUGGAGGGCUUAACAACAAAUAUCUGCAGACAUGAAUUAACUCAUUAGAUGUCUGUGUUCUUCUGUUUUUUUGGUUUUUUUUUCUCCUCCAUAGUUCCUCAGUCUGCCUUUUCACCCUGAAAAAUAUUGAUAUCAGUAUCAGAUUCUUGAUUUUGUUUGUUUGCUUUUAAAGCCCAUAAGGUAUACUGUACUUCAGUCUACUUGAUUGUUUCUUCAGAUUAAACUGGUAUGAGAUGCAGUUAACUCAAAUAAUGGUGCACUGCUAAAGAAAGCUGUUAUCUCAGAUAGCAAAAGCCUGUCACUAAAAAUCUACCAGAUUAUAAAUCUAAAGACCAUUAACAAUAAAACCAUUAUAUCAUAGAAUUACAGAAUCAUAUAAUGAAGAAACAACCAUAAUUUGUUUUUAUGAGAGGUAAAUAAGAAACAUCGCAGCUCAUAUACCCAUACGUGCAACCUCAGCCCAAAAGCAUUACUCUAAAGUAUGUUACGUAAACUAACAAAACUGUUCGUGACAGUUGAACUUGGAUAGAAAAUUUGGAAAUCUAAGUAUCAUAGAAUCACAGAAUCUUAUGAGUUGCAAGGGACUCUUAAAGGUCAUCUAGUCCAACUUCUCUCCAGUGAACAGGGACCAGCAGAUCCAGUCUGACCUUGGAUUUCAUCAAGGAUUGGGCUUCCAUCCCCUAUCUGGGCAACCGGUGC